UCGAAUGUGUCUUCUGUUUUACUUCUACCACCAACAACAAAGCUUACUUCAAUUGGCUGAACAAAGUAAAAGAGAAGAAAGAACAAUUUUAGAGAGACCAAGGCAUAUAUAUAUAUAUAUAUAUAUAACUUGAUUCAAUUGUCCAGGAAUUACCCUAAAUACAACCCUAAUAUGCUCAUUUUAGCGCUUUCCUUUUGGAAAGGCUUGACUAACACCUUUCACCUUCAUU
rnacentral:lncRNA from 1 species